GGUCUGUGAUGCCUUAGAUGUCCUGGGCUGCACGCGCGCUACACUGAUGCGUUCAUCGAGUUUAUCCUUGGCCGAGAGGCCUGGGUAAUCUUUAGUACGCAUCGUGAUGGGGAUCGAUUAUUGCAAUUAUUAAUCGUGAACGAGGAAUGCCUAGUAUGCGCAAGUCAUCAGCUUGUGCAGAUUACGUCCCUGCCCUUUGUACAC
rnacentral:rRNA from 1 species